rnacentral:rRNA from 1 species
GACGAACGCUGGCGGCGUGCCUAAUACAUGCAAGUAGAACGCACAGUUUAUACCGUAGCUUGCUACACCAUAGACUGUGAGUUGCGAACGGGUGAGUAACGCGUAGGUAACCUGCCUGGUAGCGGGGGAUAACUAUUGGAAACGAUAGCUAAUACCGCAUAAUAUUGAUUAUUGCAUGAUAAUUAAUUGAAAGGUGCAAUUGCACCACUACCAGAUGGACCUGCGUUGUAUUAGCUAGUAGGUGAGGUAACGGCUCACCUAGGCGACGAUACAUAGCCGACCUGAGAGGGUGAUCGGCCACACUGGGACUGAGACACGGCCCAGACUCCUACGGGAGGCAGCAGUAGGGAAUCUUCGGCAAUGGACGAAAGUCUGACCGAGCAACGCCGCGUGAGGGAAGAAGGUUUUCGGAUCGUAAAGCUCUGUUGUAAGAGAAGAACGGGUGUGAGAGUGGAAAGUUCACACUGUGACGGUAUCUUAACAGAAAGGGACGGCUAACUACGUG